CCUUUCUCCUCCCCCAACCCCAAGAAAAUAGAAGGUACACUCUAUACGGCUCUUCUGAUUCAGUUUUGAUAAAGAGGAAAAUGAGCAAACAAAAUACACUCGAUGCGCAUCUCUUCUUUUCUAGGUUUGAUAAGAGUAAAAUCAGUCUUUACUUCAGUCUUUUUGGAAAGGAAAUCAGCGUGUCUCCACGUUUUUGCAUUACACAUUCCAGUUCUUUGAAAGGAAAAUCGGGCUUCUUUUCUUACUGCUCGUCAAUACAUGCUUUUUACAGGUUGGUUGUUUCUUUUCAAAUUAAGUUUAUUUUGUUUGAACUAUUAAUUGCUUUGUGGAAUGCCUAAGUUUGCCCAAUUCUUGGUUUAUACUGUAUACAUUAUCUAGGUUUUUCCCCUCUUUUUGGUUUUCAUGCAAUAUGCAUAUAUUUGGCUUAUUGUAUGUACUCAUGUGAGCGCUUAUGUUAGUAUCCUUUAUUGAAAAUGAUGAUAAGUUUUGAAUAAAUUUGUUAAUCUGAGGAUAAUUUUUUUGAUAAUAGGUUAAAGGAGAUGAAAUUGAGUUUCUUUAGUGUUUUCAAUGUUCUCUUUUUUUGCCAAUUAUUAUUGAAUAAAUCUGUUAAUCUGCUAAAUUCUGAGGAUAAUUUCUCAUAAUUUUUCUUCCUUUUCAUUAAGUUUAAAUUAAAGAUUGUUCAAAGUUAAUAAAUAUAACAGUAUAACAUUAUCACCUAUCAUCACAUUAUCCAUCGAGUGAAUUGAGUUUCUACCAAGUUGCAGAACUUGAUUUCAAAGGAGGACAAAAGGUCUACAGUAGUGAACAAUGCAAUAAAAAACUCUUGAAAAACUCUUAAGCAGAUCAACGAUAAUGGCCUAGAGACAAAGUCUGCUCCUCUUCCAGGUUUCCAUAUUGAGGUUCUUGCCUUGUGGUGAAAGUGUCUUCUUCCUCCGGAGACCCCUGGAUUUCUUCCCAGCUGAAGUCACUCCACAAAGCUUUCUAUGCUUAUGCACUGUAUUGCAGAUCCAGUUGAUUCUUGGGUCAUUCCUCACAGCAGCAUGGGCUGCAUCAACCAGGAUGACUUUUGUAUUUAUAUGUUGAAUCCUCAUUGAUUCAGUAAGAGUUGAGGACCUUAAGAACACCCAAUUUCCUACCAGCAUGCUCCUCAGCAACAAAUUGUUUACUAAUCUGACACUUUAACUAGGUAACAACCUGGUUGGUAGGCUUAACGUACACAAUACCCUUUGAUACAAGCCUCUUCCUUCCACCACGCUUCACAUGAACACGGUAAACCACAUAGCCCUGUUUUGAUUUGUAACCCAAGUGUCGUGCCUUUUUAGGAUGAGUAAGCCUACUGACGCGCACUUUUGAUGGAAUUUGGCGGUACUCCCAUCCCCUGCAUAUCACCCUCUACAAGAACCUCAUCACAUCAGACUGCUGCUUCCUUCAUAGCUUUGACAUGUAAGUGUAGGCACCCAUUGUAGUGUCGAAACUCUAUACUCUUACUCAGCUGUUCUCGAUGAAGUUCUGUUCAAAGUUUAUAUUGUCUUCCCUACAUGUUUUCUAGAGAAAAAUAUAUUUGUAAAGGCUAAGUUACAGAUUCCUCUGUGAGAUAGGGCAAGAUAAUAAUUCUACUACCUUAAUUUUAAUUUUAGCAUAUCAUUUUACCAAUUAGGUAGACAAUGUUGUCUCAUAAUUUCUGUAUUCAAGCCAAGAGCUCAAAUUGGUUGCUUCUCUAUGGUUGGAGGAGAGUAGUUUUGGAACUUUUAUAAAGUACUAGAUGAUGAAUGCCCGUGAGCGCACAUGCCCAAUAUGGUAUUAGGCAAUAUUUAGGCGAUAGACAUUCCUUAUAUACACACAUAUGUUAUUUAUAGAAUACAUUUGUGAUUGCAUAUGUAAUUCUAUUUGCAUAUUUACAUUGUUUUUAGUAGCUACAUGUUUUUGUGGAAGCUAGAUAGAUAGCAGUGGUAGUGCUGUUGUUGUGAGUGUUUAAUUCAUAGUAAAUGUGUAGUGUAGUAAGAAUUGAGUAUGAUAGGUUGUUACGUACCUUUUUGAGGCAUUGGGUGUCGUGCAUAUUCAUGUUCAAUUUUAUUCCAGCUUUUCACACAAGGCAGUGCAAGCGAAGUGCUUGCCAUAGAAGAGGGUAGAUUAGUUGAGGGGAAUGUAACUGUGUUUUCAAGCAGGCCACUAUUUUUUAAAUUAGCUUUGUUUGCUCGUUGUCGAACCGAAGAAGUUGUUUUUUUGUCUGGUGCCUUUAAGAGGUAUAAUUCAUAAUGCCUAGUCUGUUUAUUGGCGGCUAUACUGCCGGAGAUUUGACCUAUUUUAUCGCUUUACAGGCACAAUAUGGUACUGUCUAGUGUUUCAAGUUAUUCGGAAGAGUUCAUAAUACAAAAUCUUUAAUUACAUAAUCUCAAAUUUUGGUAUCAACUUUUCUGAACUCUUUAAUUAUGUAAUCUGUAAUUUUCUUAAAAGUUCUUGGAGUUGAGAGAAGAUUAGAAUAUAGAGUAACUUGUUCAUAAACAUCAUCUCUAACUCCAAGAGGCUGGGCUUAAGUCCACAUACACUCUAUCCUCUGAGAUCUCACCUAAGGGAUUACACUAGGUAUGUUAUUGUUGUAUGUAAUUAACUUAAGAAAAAGGAACUGAAAGAGAAAGAGUAAGAAAUGUCGAUACUAAACCGACCACUUAACUCAUGGGAUGACAAGUCGUGGGAAGACGUUCACAAUGAGGGAAAUAGAUGAAAGUGUUGUUAGCGAUAUUUAUGAGCACAUCAAAUUUGUAAAUAUGAAUCUUUUCUUGUUUUAUGAUUGAGAAGUUGGGGGUUUGAUAUUUGAGUGUUUUUUUCUUUUUUCAGCAUUAUCCACUACUGAGAGGGACUUUGUACUGAAAUUUUCUGCUUUAGAAAUAUAUAAUGAGACAAUAGACCUCCAGAAUUGUGCGUCUUGCUCACUUCACCAGUUGAAUGACCAAGAGGUUUAAAAUUUUCUUAAUUAAUGAGUUCAAAUUUCUCUUAACUAGAAUUCCCUUAAAAAUAAUUUUUUCUUGAAACUUUUUGUCUCCUAAUGCAAAAAGGUAUUAUUGUAGAAAAACUAGUGGAUGAGAUUGUAAAUGAUGGCCAACAUCCGAGGACCUUAAUUGGUACCUGUAAAGGUAAGUAAGGUAACAUACUUUUGAUUAAUAUUCUUCAGUGAUAAAUGAUUGCAUUAUCUUAUGCAUAAAAGAAUGUAGCCUUAGAAACCUCAGUAUCUAUAUUUUUAAGUUCAGAAUUUUCUCUGACAUUGUGGUUAAAAAUACUUGUCACUUGUUGCAGCUCAAAAACAGGUGGGUGAAACUUCUCUAAAUGAUUAAAGCUCAACCUCUCAUCAGACAAUCAAGCUGGUAAAGAUACUGGUCCUAUUUCUACUUAGAUUAAAAGUAUUUGGCAUUGUGAAGCUUCUCUGCACAUUUGACAUAAGAUAGAUUAUGUACAUGAAAUAGUUAGGUAUUCAAGCAUGUGAAAUUGAACACAAGGAUUAAAUCAUCAUAUUGAAAUCUUUGUUAUUUACUUUGUUAGAACACCUGAGCUAUGUACUAUAUGCUAGCUGAAUGCAGUAAAUCUAAUCUACCCAAUAACUAUAAAAAAAUGUCUCUUUAAAUUAAUCAAGAUGUAAAAUUAUUGUUAUAUGUGGUUGCAGCCUUUUUCUAUGUUGGGACCUGGGAAUUCUAAGGUUGCAUCACAACAGUUCUUAUUUUCAUAAUGUAUAUGGAAAAGAUCAUAGAAACUUGGGAAAAGAAGUGGAUGAAAUGAGGAAGUAUUGAAAAUAUUAUUCUUAAUUAUAUGAUCUUAUUGAAACUAGGAUGAAACUACUGAUUAUUAAUUAAAUUAAUGACCACAUGCCACAAUUUUGAUGGCUUGCAACUCUUUAAUGCUGCAUAAUUGCCAUUAUUAAGUGGCCGGUCUUACUUUCAGCACCUCUUGCUCUUUCUCUUCCAGUUUCUUUUUCAUUAAUUAAUUGUAUACAACAACAACAACAUACUCAGUGUAAUCCCACAAGUAAGAAGAAUAGAGUGUAUCCAAACCUUAGCCCUAUCUCUUGGAGUCAAAGAGGUUGUUUAUAAAAAAAAGUUAACUUUGUAAUCUAAUCAUUUAUCAACUCCAAGAUCUUCUAAGAAAAUAUCAGAUUACAUAAUUAUAGAGUUCAUAUAAGUUGAUAUCAAAAUUUGAGAACACCAGAUGAUGUACUUACAAAUUUUGUAACAUGAAAUAUUAGACAGUACCAUAUUGUGCUUGUAACUAUCUUGUUAUCUUCAUUAUUGUUUAGCCAUCUCAAACAACAAUGAUUAGCAUAUCAGAGAGGUUGUAAUGACAUUACCUGAUGAAUCCAUAUCAAUUAAAAUGGCAAGAUUAUCCCAUCACCUACACCAGCCAAUUACAUAUUACUUUCUAAUAAUCAUUUUUCCACUAUAAUGUGUUGAUGGUACUUGUACCGACUUCCUCUCCACCCCUAUCACAUAGUGUUGUUGUGUUUGUGGCUGAGUGGAAUGAGAGAACUACAGAACAUAAGAUUAUAAGGUGCAAAUGAGAAGGUUUUAUGCACAUUAAGGGUGUAAAAUGUAUAGAAAUUCAUACAAACAAAGUGAGCUGGAAGGAUUUUUAGACUAUUACCAAUUUAAGGUUCAGAUUCGUCCAAGUUUGAUGUAAUUCCUCUUUUCUUCCUCCUACUCUUCACCAAUAAGUUCUUCUUGAUAGCUUUGAUAACUUUAACUUUUCCACCUUCUACUUUUUAGCACUCUCUUCCUUUCUUCUCCUACCUUUUUUUCAAAAGUUUUCUUCACUCAUACAAGUGAUUGAAAUUCUGGAUCUUCAUUGAUUCCUGUUCUUCAUAUGAUUCCACCAAAAUUCAUAAAAGCUCCUCUAUGAGGAUCAUGUGUGAUGUGAGCAGGUAUACCUCAUCAUUGUUAAAUUUGUCAACUCGACAAUCUCUAUUUUCAUUCUUCAUCACUUUGGUGUUGUCUUUAGAUGUCUUACUCUAUUCGUACUGCAACACUUUGAUGGUCAAGUUCCAUAAGAUACUUUGUUCAUUACUUGAUUUACUGUGAAAGUCUCUAAAUUUUUGCUUUCUUUUAUAUAUUAAAGGCGCAGUAAGCUCUUGAGCAUCAAAACUACCACCAUCAUUCCUAAAGGCGAAAGAAGCUACAUCGAUGAUAAAAUAAAGAAGACAUUGAGAGCUUAAUUAUGGUCAAAGCUAGCUUAAUUCUUUUACGGGAGAGGAAUGUGAUUUAAUAUCUAAAAUAGAGCAUGUGAAACAAAAACAAUAAUUUUUUAGUUCUCUGUGCACAAUUUAAAUCUUUGUGUUUGUUUGUUACUUUUCCUGAUUGAGAACUACAAACCAACUUGACUUUUGGAUUAGAAGGGUGUGAAAUGAUUUAAAUUGAACCUGAUUCUUGAAUAUUGGCAGUAUUGAACAAGUUGAAAUGUGAAGAAAUUUGGGGGUAAUUUUUUAGAGUUUUGAACCAAGUUGGACAGAGAAUUAAGACAAUUGGUUGUCUAGUUUUCAAUUUCAGUACUUUUUUUUUUAUCCAUAGUCUUAUAUGUACUAUUUGAAAAUCACUACAAAUGUUAAUUGAAAUUUGAAGUAUUGUGUUGAAACCACAAAUGUAAAUGGAGUUUUAGUAUCUGAAAUAUUUGUGUUGUUGAAAGUUUGAUUAGCUGUUGAGAUUAGCUUAAAACUUGGUCAAAGAAACACGUAUUUACAUAAUUUUUAACAGGUGAAUACUAUUGAUUUGACAUUAUUACUUUUUUUUUUUUUUGAUGACAAGGGAAACUCGCAGCCGCUAUCCUUUGGGUGCUCACAGGGUAAAACCUCCGCUCCUAUGCAAUAGCUCGCAAACCACAUAGGAGAGGUAACCCGCACUAGGCAAGCCUGGUGCGACGAGCUCGACCUAGAAGGCAAACCCCUUGCUUUCACUGGCAAGGGGUUUCGAACUUGAGACCUCCAACAUGGAAGUCCCAAGCUCAAACCACUACUUCUCAUUUGAAAUGAUAAUUGUUAACUUUGAUGAAAUUAUAAAAAGUACAUCUUUUAAAAUCAACGGAAUAUGAGACCAGUAUUCAUAUUAUGCUUUACUAUGUUUUCCUAAAUCAUAAAUACAUAUUAUAUAGUGUACACUUUAGUCAGCUCAUGCCCGUGUCUGCUGUGCAACAUUCAGUAAUCAUAACAUUUUUUUAUUGUUUAUACAUAAGUUUCUAUACUAACAGAUAAUGAAGUUUAUGUGUGCGUAUAAAACCUAGGUUCCUGAAUAAUAGUCUGAAAUAUCAAUCAAUUAUUCUUUAGGACACAUUUCUGUACCUUUGUUUGGAAAUCAUCUAAAUUUAUUGGACUAUUUUGGUAGAUAAAAAACUUAUUAUUCGCGUGCUUUUUAGAAACCUUAAUGUUUUGCAUCAUUUUUGGUAAAUAUGUUGAGAUCUUCUGUAUCUUUUUGAAAAGUUUAUUAUUUGUUACUAAACUAACAUUAACUUGUGUUUUUAUAGCUCAAGAAUAUGAAUACGGAGAAUCUAUCAUUCAAGCAAGUAAGGAGAAAAUUGAAGUUCAGGAGGGAUUUUAUUUUAGGGGUGAUUUAAACACAAUAUUUUAUUUUAUGUAUCUAUGGUGAGUUUUUUCUUUNNNN
rnacentral:lncRNA from 1 species